UGGAACUAAAGUGAUAUUGUUGCAAUCCACCCCUUAGUAACUAGUUAGUUUGCUAAUACUUACAACCUCUGCUUGUUCCAAAACAUAUCAUCUGCCCAGUAAAGAAGCAUCAUCACUAAAAGGGGAAGUUGCUAUCUUCAUCAUCCUCAUCUUCAUCUAUCACAUCCUCAUCUUCAGUUAUUAUCUCCUCAUCCCCAUCAAGUUCCUCAUCCUCAUCCUCAUCCAUCAUGGCUUUACUCCUCUCCUCAUUGUCCUUCAAACCAGUGCUCAAGACCACAUUUUCUCCCCUGGAUUGCUC
rnacentral:lncRNA from 1 species